rnacentral:rRNA from 1 species
UACGGGGGGGCAAGCGUUGUUCGGAAUUACUGGGCGUAAAGGGCUCGUAGGCGGCCAACUAAGUCAGACGUGAAAUCCCUCGGCUUAACCGGGGAACUGCGUCUGAUACUGGAUGGCUUGAGUUCGGGAGAGGGAUGCGGAAUUCCAGGUGUAGCGGUGAAAUGCGCAGAUAUCAGGAGGAACACCGGUGGCGAAGGCGGGUCUCUGGGCCGAUACUGACGCUGGAGGAGCGAAAGCGUGGGGAGCGAACAGG